rnacentral:rRNA from 1 species
AUGCACGCUGGCGGCGUGCCUAAUACAUGCAAGUCGCGCGAACGGACGAGAAGCUUGCUUUUCUGAUGUUAGCGGCGGACGGGUGAGUAACACGUGGAUAACCUACCUAUAAGACCGGGAUAACUUCGGGAAACCGGAGCUAAUACCGGAUAAUAUUUUGAACCGCAUGGUUCAAAAGUGAAAGACGGUCUUGCUGUCACUUAUAGAUGGAUCCGCGCUGCAUUAGCUAGUUGGUAAGGUAACGGCUUACCAAGGCAACGAUGCAUAGCCGACCUGAGAGGGUGAUCGGCCACACUGGAACUGAGACACGGUCCAGACUCCUACGGGAGGCAGCAGUAGGGAAUCUUCCGCAAUGGGCGAAAGCCUGACGGAGCAACGCCGCGUGAGUGAUGAAGGUCUUCGAAUCGUAAAACUCUGUUAUUAGGGAAGAACAUAUGUGUAAGUAACUGUGCACAUCUUGACGGUACCUAAUCAGAAAGCCACGGCUAACUACGUG